rnacentral:rRNA from 1 species
AUUGAACGCUGGCGGCAUGCCUUACACAUGCAAGUCGAACGGUAACGGGCCUUCGGGUGCCGACGAGUGGCGAACGGGUGAGUAAUGUAUCGGAACGUACCUUUCAGUGGGGGAUAACGUAGCGAAAGUUACGCUAAUACCGCAUAUUCUGUGAGCAGGAAAGCAGGGGAUCGCAAGACCUUGCGCUGAUUGAGCGGCCGAUAUCAGAUUAGCUAGUUGGUGAGGGAAAGGCUCACCAAGGCGACGAUCUGGAGCGGGUCUGAGAGGAUGAUCCGCCACACUGGAACUGAGACACGGUCCAGACUCCUACGGGAGGCAGCAGUGGGGAAUUUUGGACAAUGGGGGCAACCCUGAUCCAGCCAUGCCGCGUGAGUGAAGAAGGCCUUCGGGUUGUAAAGCUCUUUCGGCCGGGAAGAAAUCGUAUCAGCUAAUACCUGGUGCGGAUGACGGUACCGGCAUAAGAAGCACCGGCUAACUACGUGCCAGCAGCCACCGUAAUAC